GUAACACUACUAUAUCACGAUACUGGAGAUAAUGACCAGCUCGGGGUGAGAACACUACUAUAUCACGAUACUGGAGAUAAUGAACAGGGUGAGGUAACACCACUAUAUCACGAUAUUGGAGAUAAUGAACAGGGUGAGAACACCACUAUAUCACGAUACUGGAGAUAAUGAACAGGGUGAGAACACCACUAUAUCACGAUACUGGAGAUAAUGAACAGCUCAGGGUAACACCACUAUAUCACGAUAUUGGAGAUAAUGAACAGGGUGAGAACACCACUAUAUCACGAUACUGGAGAUAAUGAACAGGGUGAGAACACCACUAUAUCACGAUACUGGAGAUAAUGAACAGGGUGAGAACACCACUAUAUCACGAUACUGGAGAUAAUGAACAGGGUGAGAACACCACUAUAUCACGAUACUGGAGAUAAUGAACAGGGUGAGAACACCUCUAUAUCACGAUACUGGAGAUAAUGAACAGGGUGAGAACACCACUAUAUCACGAUACUGGAGAUAAUGAACAGGGUGAGAACACCACUAUAUCACGAUACUGGAGAUAAUG
ensembl:lncRNA